rfam:Schistosoma haematobium scaffold328_12, whole genome shotgun sequence.
AUCCAGCUGACGAAUCCCAAAUAGGAUGAAAAGCGCAUCCUGGAU